rnacentral:sRNA from 12 species
CUAUGCUGGGGUUUGAAAGGGGAUUCCCCUUUCCCGGUUUAAGGAGGGUGCUCAGGAUGCAGAUCAAAGUCCUGAGGCAUCCGCCGAAGGGAAC